GGAGUAAGCACAAUCCUGACUCGUAUAAUGCCGGGGAUACGGCCCGGAAGUUUCUACCUGGAAACCUUAAAUUUCCGGACUACGGGAGACAUACGGCUGAAG
rnacentral:ncRNA from 2 species